UUGCCUGAAGAGGUCAGCUUGACGCACGAAAAAGAUGGCGAUUUUUUAAGCGUACCGGAAACAUCCAUGAAAAUUGUGUGCACGGCGGCGCAUGAAAUCACGGCAGACGUUGGCCGUGUAGCGUGUUUAUCGACACGAGUGUUAUCGUGGUCGGAUCUUGCGCGAAGAGCAGCGCUCGUUCGGGUGGUACCAAUUUGUCGUUCCUUUAUCAACCGUCAUCUGAUGGCGACCCGACACCGCGCUGGGCCGCGGCCAACCGAAUGCAACGUUGCCUUGAAGUGACACCGGGCCUACAAUGGGGAACAAAGCGGCGUCCACUUCUUUGCCAGGGGUUUUGUUUCAUUCCGCGGUGGACAAGCCUUGUUAUUUGUCAUGCAUUUUGACCCUCGCCGAUUUCAUCUUGGAUAUUUUUCUCUGCCUGGUAGAGGUGCUCGCGCGCCAAUUCUAAAGAAGGUUCGUACACGCGUGUCUCUGAGAACCGAGUGUUUUUCGCGAGAAGAAAGUGAACGGUGUAUGAUAAGGAAUUGAUUUUGAUUUACAAUGUAUGAGAGAUGUUCCUGUUAUUUCUAAUUGAAACGAUGUGGAUGAUUGACUACGACUAUAUCGACAGUUAUUAUAUCAAGAUAACUGAUUUUUUACGCUGGCUAGAAAUAAUAGAAAUUGAAUUUGCAAGAAUAUACAAGCUAAAAAGAAGAUACAAGCAUCUUGUACCGUCGAUGCAGGUUCAAUCACAGAGUACAAGUACAAGUCCAAUGGCGUAAUCUUCCUUCAUGUCACUCGAUCAUCGUUCAGAUGAAUUUACAGUUUCACACUUAACGGGCCAUUAUGAUGUUAAUGGCGUUAUUAAUUACUGGAAGAGACACCUCCAAGCUUCGAUGAAGGUUUCCACAGUACGAUACAAUCUCUGCGAGGAGGCUCCAUUAACCUUUAAACAGAUGCUGAGAAAAAUGAAUAAUGAGUCGUGCAAUCGCGAUUUCAGAUGUUAAAAUAAUAAGCCGUAGAAUGUGAUCACAUACAUGAUGUAGGUAUCAAUUAUUUAUGAAUGACACGGGACAAUUUUUCUACAAAGCUUCACACGAGUAACGAACCGGAACUAACGACCAAAUUAAACCUAUCUUUUGGGAAUAUCACGAUAUCUACAUUUCUUUUUGUAACGUAAUACCAUUGAAUUAAGCAUUAAGUUAAGUUAAAAGGAUAAUACCUCGUGAAUUUUUAUUGAUCAGAAACAUCAAAAAGAUUGCCAUUUAUUUAAUUCUUAUUUGAAAAAUUAUGAUGAGCUUAGUUUGCAUUCUAGAAAAUAUAAAUUAUCUAUUUGUAUAUUACUGGAAAAAAAGAAAAAAAAAUAGAUUUUUCUCAGAAUUUUUAAAGGUAACGUAUUCAUAUAAUUAUACUACUACUAAAAAAAAAAGAAUAUUACAAAAAUUUAAAUAUCUACAGAAUAUCUAACAAAUCAUAAGAUAAUUCUUUAUUAAAAACACAAAUAAAACUUAUUAUAUAACAUACAUUACUUAUAUUAUUUUUAAUUCCAAUCUAUUCAUUUCAGAAGAUGAGAAAUAAAAGAUAAGAAGGAGUAACAUCCAAUAAAUAAAUAAAUAAAUAAAUAAAAGCCAAGAUCGAGAACAAAGAAAAGAAAAAGGAAGAUGCACAAAGGUUUCUCCCAAAGAUUGCACAAGGCGGAAGUCUCCAUGCGUCCAAGGGUUAGCGGUCCAUGUAAGAAAAUGCUCGGUAUAAGGCACCUUCCGGCGAAAAUCCCUCGCUCUCUCGUGCCUCUCUCGCUGAAUAAUGAACCGUGUUCUCGAGUGGUUUGCGCGGUCGAGCGACCGGUCCCGUUUCCGUAAAUUAUAACCAUUAGCGGCACUUGCGUUCCGCGGCCUCACGUCCCGGUAAUUUUCGUGAAAUUAAACGCGCCGAAUCAAUUACUCGUUGGUAAUCGGGACGAUGGCCGGACAACCGCGGUGGGAAAUGGCGUGCGCGGCUGUCACCGUGCCAGGUUAUCUGCGUUUGUCAAGCGUGUGCGCACAACUUGGUAUCGUCACGAAACAUUCCCAUAAAAGUGUAAUUUGCCCGUUGAUUUUUGCCACGGUGUGUGUACAAUGUGGCUGGACUCACCCGGCGGGAACGACAAGAGGAUAAUUGGAGGCGAAGUUGGCAACCGGUUCCUUGAGCACUUCCGUUCAGAAAUAAGUUAUCGAUGUAUACUUUUGAAUAUACGCGAGAUGAUUUGGGAUGCUUUUGUAAUCUUGCAUCGAGUAAAAUUUAACGUUUGAAAUUUUAAUGUUUUGUAUAAUUUCGAUAUAUGGGACAAUGGUUCUCAACCUUUAUUAAUCUUUAUAAUCUUGUGUUAUCUCGAUAUUCGAUUUCGUUUUAUUCUUGCGUUCAUUUUCAAUAU